GAUGAACGCUGGCGGCGUGCUUAACACAUGCAAGUCGAACGAGGAUUUAACGGAAUGCGAUUCGUCAAAUGAAAUUAAAUCCGAGUGGCGGACGGGUGAGUAACGCGUGGAUAACCUGCCUCACACAGGGGGACAACAGUUGGAAACGACUGCUAAUACCGCAUAACACAAGUAAUUCGCAUGAAUAACUUGCCAAAGAUUAUAUCGGUGUGAGAUGGAUCCGCGUCUGAUUAGCCAGUUGGCGGGGUAACGGCCCACCAAAGCGACGAUCAGUAGCCGACCUGAGAGGGUGACCGGCACAUUGGGACUGAGACACGGCCCAAACUCCUACGGGAGCAGCAGUGGGGAAUAUUGGUCAAUGGACGAGAGUCUGAACCAGCCAAGUAGCGUGAAGGAUGACUG
rnacentral:rRNA from 1 species